UAUAUAUGUUCACACACACACACAUAUAUAUAUAUACACACACACAUACAUAUAUAUAUAUAUUAUGUAUAAAAAGUUUUGUUUACAUCAAGUGGAAUUGGCAAUCCAUGCUUAUACUUUUAAAAUCUAAGCAGGGCAGAAAUCCAGACUAUAAAGAUAUUUAUUCUAUGUUGAGUCCAAUAGCUUCUUUCAAAAACUACUCGUUAAAAGCCUCAAAUAGUCAACAAAACAAGAAAACUCAUCCAUACUACAGUCGCUCAAAACUGGACAUUUCUUAAUCAAC